rnacentral:rRNA from 2 species
GACGAGGGAAUUAUAGUACCGAAGUUCCUGAUUCCACACUGCCAAGAAAAGCCUCUAGCGAGGCGGGAGGUGCCCGUACCGCAAACCGACACAGGUAGGCGAGGAGAGAAUCCUAAGGUGAUCGAGAGAACUCUCGUUAAGGAACUCGGCAAAAUGACCCCGUAACUUCGGGAGAAGGGGUGCUCUGGUAGGGUGUAUAGCCCGAGAGAGCCGCAGUGAAUAGGCCCAGGCGACUGUUUAGCAAAAACACAGGUCUCUGCGAAGCCGCAAGGCGAAGUAUAGGGGCUGACGCCUGCCCGGUGCUGGAAGGUUAAGAGGAGGGGUUAUCCUUUGGGAGAAGCUCUGAAUCGAAGCCCCAGUAAACGGCGGCCGUAACUAUAACGGUCCUAAGGUAGCGAAAUUCCUUGUCGGGUAAGUUCCGACCCGCACGAAAGGCGUAACGAUCUGGGCACUGUCUCAACGAGAGACUCGGUGAAAUUAUAGUACCUGUGAAGAUGCAGGUUACCCGCGACAGGACGGAAAGACCCCGUGGAGCUUUACUGUAGCCUGAUAUUGAAUUUUGGUACAGCUUGUACAGGAUAGGUAGGAGCCUGAGAAGCCGGAGCGCUAGCUUCGGUGGAGGCGUCGGUGGGAUACUACCCUGGCUGUAUUGAAAUUCUAACCCGCGGCCCUUAUCGGGCCGGGAGACAGUGUCAGGUGGGCAGUUUGACUGGGGCGGUCGCCUCCUAAAAUGUAACGGAGGCGCCCAAAGGUUCCCUCAGAAUGGUUGGAAAUCAUUCGUAGAGUGUAAAGGCACAAGGGAGCUUGACUGCGAGACCUACAAGUCGAGCAGGGACGAAAGUCGGGCUUAGUGAUCCGGUGGUUCCGCAUGGAAGGGCCAUCGCUCAACGGAUAAAAGCUACCCCGGGGAUAACAGGCUUAUCUCCCCCAAGAGUCCACAUCGACGGGGAGGUUUGGCACCUCGAUGUCGGCUCAUCGCAUCCUGGGGCUGUAGUCGGUCCCAAGGGUUGGGCUGUUCGCCCAUUAAAGCGGUACGCGAGCUGGGUUCAGAACGUCGUGAGACAGUUCGGUCCCUAUCCGUCGUGGGCGUAGGAAAUUUGAGAGGAGCUGUCCUUAGUACGAGAGGACCGGGAUGGACACACCGCUGGUGUACCAGUUGUCUUGCCAAAGGCAUCGCUGGGUAGCUAUGUGUGGACGGGAUAAGUGCUGAAAGCAUCUAAGCAUGAAGCCCCCCUCAAGAUGAGAUUUCCCAUAGCGCAAGCUAGUAAGAUCCCUGAAAGAUGAUCAGGUUGAUAGGUCAGAGGUGGAAGCGUGGCGACAUGUGUAGCUGACUGAUACUAAUCGAUCGAGGACUUAACCAAA